rnacentral:rRNA from 1 species
UAAAGCGUGCGCAGGCGGUUAUGUAAGACAGAUGUGAAAUCCCCGGGCUCAACCUGGGAACUGCAUUAGUGACUGCAUAGCUGGAGUACGGCAGAGGGGGAUGGAAUUCCGCGUGUAGCAGUGAAAUGCGUAGAUAUGCGGAGGAACACCGAUGGCGAAGGCAAUCCCCUGGGCCUGUACUGACGCUCAUGCACGAAAGCGUGGGGAGCAAACAGGAUUAGAUCCCCUGU